UACGUAGGGUGCGAGCGUUGUCCGGAAUUAUUGGGCGUAAAGGGCUCGUAGGCGGUCUGUCGCGUCGGCUGUGAAAACUCGGGGCUCAACCCCGAGCCUGCAGUCGAUACGGGCAGACUAGAGUGCUGUAGGGAGACUGGAAUUCCUGGUGUAGCGGUGAAAUGCGCAGAUAUCAGGAGGAACACCGGUGGCGAAGGCGGGUCUCUGGGCGAGUAACUGACGCUGGAGGAGCGAAAGCGUGGGGAGCGAACAGG
rnacentral:rRNA from 1 species